rnacentral:lncRNA from 1 species
UCGAGUGAGUUCGAGGUGAAGGACACCUUGAAAUAAUUACAUUUUUUGCUCAUUUUAUGUUGUGAAAAUGGCUCAGUCGACUUGGGGGAGAAUGUAAAAUGGUCACCUGAUCCCCAUAGGAAGGGCUCUUAUUUUUCCUCCCCUUGCUGCCAGCAUGACCACACUGUGAUCGGUUGCCCUCGUGCCUCGGAGGUGGACUUCUUCCAAAAGGCACCUCUGGUAUGGGUCCAGCUGCCCCUCAGCCAGCCCUGGGCAGCCAUAGGGAGCAGAACCCCUCCAAGACGUCCACCCAGUGGGUGGCCUCAGGAGGCCAGGAAGACAAGGCUGUGUGCAUAGCGGGGUCUGCAAACACAGAGAAGCUGACCCCCCCUCAGGUGGGAGGGGGAAGGGAACCGAACUCACCUGCUCCUUUGUCCCAAAGAUGACAGGGGACUUCCCCAUGGGGUGAGCACGGCCCAGAGGGAGUGAGCCCAGCCCUGUAAGGACCUGCCUGGUGAGAAGCUUACAGAUCUGGAAAGGGGUUCCUUGAGAGACUCAACUGCUCAGGAGGACAUCACAACCCUGCGUCCUGCUCAGCCAGGAGCCCUGGCUGGGCCCAACAACCAGAGAUGGCCAGGGACCUGCGCAGGCGUUUCCCUCCCUUCUCCAGGCCUUGGGUCCCCGAGGGCCUCGCCAGGCAGGCGGCUUACAGAGAGGCUGCCAGGGCUCCACCUGUCAUUUCUUUUCUCCCUGCGCCACUCAGCCCCGGGGGAUCUCUCCAGGGUCUCACUAUGCGACGCAAGGACCCCACCACCGAGCUACAGCCCCGCCUGCCUUUCCGUUUUCUUGACCUGUCUUCUGAAGAGUAAACCUUUACAUUUUAGCAGCAUCCUACAUUUUUUCACUUAUAAUUCAUGUUUUUGUUUUCCUGCUGUUUCAACAAUCUUUGCCUAACUCGGGGUCACCAAGAUUUUUCACAAUGAUUUUUCCAAAAUGUUACAGAUUGGUAUUUAGAUCUAGGCUCUGUGCUGUCAGUCUCAGCGGCCCAGGAGGCUGGGGCAGGAGGACCACUGGAGUCCCUGUGUUCAGGGCCAGCCUGGACAACACAGCAAGACUCCAUCCUGAAAAAACAGAGUAAGGAUCUCAUUUUGAGCUAGCUUUUCAUAUGGCAUGAGGUCUGUGCCCAACUGUUUUAGGAUCAUUUGGUGCAAGUCUGAUUUUUCCCACUGCGUUGCUUUGGCAACCUUGUCAAAAACUAAUUGACCACAUAGAUGUGAGUCUAUGUGCACUCAGUUCCGUUGAUUUUUCUGUCUGUCUUUUCACCAAUACCAAGCUGUCCUCGUCACUAUUACUUUAACAAUAAGCUCUGGAACAUUGUAUGUCUUUCAAUUUUUGUUGUCUUUUUCAAACUUUUUUGUUUGUUUGUUUGUUACUGGGAAUUGAACUCAGGGGCACUCGACCACUGAGCCACAUCCCAGCCCUAUUUUGUAUUUUAUUUAGAGACAGGGUCUUAUCGACUUGCUUAAUGCCUCACCAUUGCUGAGGCUGGCUUUGAACUCGCAAUCCUCCUGCCUCAGCCUCCCAAGCUGCUGGGAUUACAGGCAUGCGUUGCUGUGCCUGGCUCUUUUCAAAUUUUUUCAAGCAAUUCUAGGUCCUUUGCAUUUCUAUGUAAACAUGAAGACUAAUCUGUCAGUUUCUUUAAGGGAGCAUUCUGGGAUAUUUUUAUUGCUUUACAUUGAAUGUCUAUAUAAUUUUAGGAGAGUUGCCAUUCUAAUUAUACUGAACAUUCUAGUCCAUAAACAUAGUAGAUCUCCCCAUUUAUUUAGGUUUUUUAAAAUUUGCGAAUCAGUGGGCUGGGGAUGUGGCUCAAGCAGUAAUGCACUCUCCUGGCAUGCACGGAGCACUGGGUUCGAUCCUCAGCCCCACAUAAAAAAAAAAAAAGUUGUGUCCACCGAAAACUAAUAAUAAAUAUUAAAAAAAUUCUCUCUCUCUCUCUCUCUCUCUAAAAAACAAUUGUGAAUCAGUGAUAUUUGUUAUUUUUUUUCCAUGUGUGAGAUAAACCUUACACAUUUGUUUUGUUGAACUGAUCACUAAGUAUGUCACCUUUAUUAUGAAUUUAUCUUUAAAUUUUCAAUGAAAUGUAUGUCUAGUAGGAAGAAGUCCAAUCAACAUUGGGUCAGCUUGUCACUGCUGUGAUGUAAGGCUCUGACCAGAACCACAGCAAGGAGGAGAAACCUAUUUGAGGUUCAGAGGUCUUGAUCCACAGAAGGCUGGAGGUGAGGCUGGUCACCUGGUGGGAGAGGGUGGCGGAGGGAAGCAGCUCCCAUCAGGAGGCAGAGAGGCUCCAGCUCCACCUUCUACCUACCCACAGCCACGCCCCCCCUUAACCACUUCCUCCAGCCACACCCACCCGCCUUCAGUCCCCACCCAGCUAAUCCCAUCAGGGAUCAAUUUGCUGAUUGGGUUAAGACUCUCACAAUCCAAUCCGUUCCCCUCUGAACCUUCUUGCAUGUCUCACAGUGAGCUUUGGGGGGACACCUCACAUCCAAAACCCAACCCUCCCUUAUUAGUUCCAUAGCUUUUUUGUAGUUCUUUUGAUAUUUAUUUAUUUACUCAGAAGUGUGGGCCACCUCCACCUGCUUCUUCUAGAAAUGUGAGCCUAGUUAUUUAUUUAUUUAUUUACACCUGCUUCUUCUAGAAAUGUGAGCCUCCUUUUAGGUUUUUACUGUAAUGACGUAACUUGUCCAUGCCAUUUUCCUGCUGUGUUUCUGUUUUCUGUGGGGUUUGUGGUGACCUCGUCUUCAUCCCUGACAUUGUGACUGUGUCUCUUUUCCUUUUUUCUUGAUAAAUCUUACUAGAGAUUAUCAAUAAACUUUUAAAGAAUUGGGUUUGGGUUUCAUUGAUUCUUCUUGUUUUUCUGUUUUCUAUUUUAUUCACUUUGGCUCUGACCUUUAUUAUUUUCUAUUAUUUUGAUUACUUUGGUCUUAUUUUUUCUUUUCUUUUUCUUUUUGUAGUUCUUUAAUAAAGAAGUAUAUCAAAGUCUAAUAUAAGAAUCUCAUAUUACAAGUUUUUCUCUAAGCACUGCUUAACUGCACCCCACAAGUUUCAAAAGACUCUUUUCAUUUUUAUUCAGGUAAGAACGAUUCGUGAUUUAUUUUUUGGCCCAUGAGUUACUUAGGAUGGUGUCGGUUAGGUUUUGGAUGGGGAUUUACAGAUCCCAUUGCUAGUAAUUUCUAGUUUAGUUAUUUUGUAGCCAAAAGCCACACUCUGAAUGAUUCCCUUCCCUUUACAUGUAUGUGGACUUGUUUUGUGGCUCAGAACACGGUCUCUCUUGGUGGCAGUUCCAUGUCCACCUGGGAGGACUCUGAUCUCCUGGUGUUGGCAGAUGCACAGUCAUGAUCACUGUGUCCCCUCAGAGAAUCGGCCCCUUGGCCCUCGUAGGCAUCCUUCCUUACCCGCGGUAGCGCUUCUUAUUCUGAAGUCCACCCCCAUUGGUGUUAGCACAGCAAAUCCAGCUUUUUAAAGACGAGUGUGUACAUGGUAAAUCUUCCUUCAUCCCUUUACUUUCAACCUGUCUGUGUUUUUUGUAUUUAAAAUGAAUUUCCUUGAAAUUAAACCCCUGUCUCUCACCAUGCACAAAACUCAACUCAAAGUGGAUCAAGGACCUAGAGAUUAGACUGGAACCCUGUGCCCAAUAGAAGGAAAAGUAGGCCCAAGUCUCCAUCAGGUAGGGAUUAGGCCCUGAUUUCCUUAACAGGACUCCAUAGUGCAAGAAAUAAAAUCAACAAUCAAUAAAUGGGAUGGAUUCAAACUAAAGAUCUUCUUCUCAGCAAAAGAAAUCAUCAGUGAGGUGAAUAGAGAGCCUUCAGGAUGGGAGCAAAGUUUUACCAACACACACCACACAGAGCACUAAUCUGCAGGGUCUAUAAAGAACUCAAAAAUCUUAACAACACAAAAACAAACAACCGAAUCAACAAAUGGGCCAAGGACCUGAACAGACACUUCUCGGAAGAGGACAUACAAUCAACCAACAAAUACAUGAAAAAAUGUUCAACAUCUGUGGCAAUUAGAGAAAUGCAAAUCAAAACUACUCUAAGACUUCAUCUCACUCCAGUCAGAAUGGCAGCUAUUGGGAGGACAAACAACAGUAAGUGUUGGCGAGGGUGUGGGGAGAAAGGCACACCCAUACACUGCUGGUGGGACUGCAAAUUGGUGCAGCCAAUAUGGAAAGCAGUAAGGAGAUUCCUUGGAAAACUGGGAAUGGAACCACCAUUUGACCCAGCUAUCCCUCUCCUUAGUCUAUAACCAAAGGACUUAAAAACAGCAUCCUACAGGGACACAGCCACAUCAAUGUUUAUAGCAGCACAAUUCACAAUAGCUAAACUGUGGAGCCAGCCUAGAUGCCCUUCAGUAGAAGAAUAGAAAGAAACUGAGGUACAUAUACACAAUAAAAAGGGAUUAAAAUUAAAAGAGAAUAAAAUCAUGGCAUUUGCAGGUAAAUGGAUGGAGUUGGAGAAUAUUAUGUUAAGUGAAGUUAACCAAUCCCCCCAAAAAACAAAUACCAGAUGUUUUCUCUGAUGUUAGGAUGGGGAUGGGGGUUAGUACGGGAGGAGUGGAGGACUCUAGAUAGGGCAGAGGGACAGGGAAGAGAGGGUAAGGGGGUCGGAAGAUGUGGGAGGAGAUGGGCGUCAUUACCCCAGUACGUGUAUGAAGACACGGAUGUUGUGACUCCUCUUUGUGUACAACCAGAGACAUGCAAAAUUGUGCUCUAUGUGUGUACUAGGAAUUGGAAUGCACUGUGCUGUCAUGUAUAACAAAUUAGAAUGAAUAAAGAAAAAUUAAAAAAUCUUGUAUAUAGUGUAGAGUGGGGCCUUAUUUUUUUAAUCCAAUUUGACAACUUCUGCCUUUUAAUUAUGAUGUGUGGGCUCUGGACAUCUAAAGUGGUCAUGGACAUGGCUGAGUCGUGGGUCAUCAGCUGUACACGUUCCCUGUCGUGGUUUCUGUUCAGUCACUGUCUUCAUCUUUAACUUAAUGACAUGCCUCCAAAUAAUGAUCGGCUGGGCUGGGCUGGGGCCCAGUGGCAGAGCGCUGGCCCGGCACGUGUGAGGCUCUGGGUUCGAUCCUCACCACCGCAUAAAAAUCAAUACACAAGAUAACGGCAUUCUGUCUAUCUACAGCUAGAAAAGCCUGUUUUUAAGUGAUGAUGGGCUGCUUCCCCUCCAGCUUGGAGACCUUUACUCAUGUGCUGUCUGCUUUCCGUCCUGCCUGCUGUUGUCCCGAGUACCACGUCCUCCUGUGUCAUAGCCUUCUAGCACAUUACGUCUUCCCCUGGGAGGUCAGUUAUGUUUUAAAUUUUUAAAAAUCAAUUUAAAUGCCUCUCCCCUGCCUCUCCCCUGCCUCUCUCCCCUGCCUCUCCCCUGCCUCUCCCCCUGCCUCUCUCCCCUGCCUCUCCCCUGUCUCUCCCUGUGCUCCAGCCCAGACUCUCUCCAGGUUGGGAGCUGGGCUGCGGCAGGGCAGGAGGGCUAAAUGCUGAGGGCAGGCUCUGGGCCCCGGAGCCUCACGCCUGCUGGCCAGGCUGCACAUGCUGCUGGGCUGGUGACCACCUCCCCCUCAGGAUCCCGCAGCCUCAGCUCCUCUCUGACGCUGCCUUGUGCCUUCACAGGGGGAUCAGUGGCCUUCGAGACCGCACCUGUUUCCUGAGCAAGCAGGCAGGAAACAGACGUUGAAGGAGUACCGCUAAGAGGUGUGCCUUCACCUGCUCCCUGGGAAUCCAUCUUGUCACCAGUGCACACCUGAGGCAGGUAAUACCAUCUACUCUAUCCUCUCCACCCUGGGGCAGGUACUGCCACCCACUCCAGCCUCUGCACACACCUGAGGCAGGUACUGCAUUCCCUCCAUCCUCUCCACCCAGAGGCAGGUACCACCAUCCUCUGCACACACCUGAAGCAGGUAUUUCCACACCUGUCCCGAGGCCAGGAUGCCCCCCGCAGCACCCACCAGGCCUCAGAGUUACUAAGUGCAGCUGUUCCCGCGGCUCUUCCCCCAGGGAAACUUGCCCACCCGCUUCCUACAAUCAGGUCAGACCUCCAGACGCAGGGAGGAGGCCCUGGCAAUGCCCUGGACCCUGCUUCCUGGGGGCACCUGCUGCCUUCCAUCGCCAGAGGUCUCAGGGGGACCCUCAGGUCUACCUUCAGUGUCCAGCUGAUCUUACAGGCGAGGACCUUUAAGGAAGACUUUAGGUGAAAGUUCUCCAGACAUUUCUGGAAAAAUACAAAGUGACAAAUCUGGCCCAGGAGGAAAUAGAAAACUCAAGAUGUGAAAAGCGGGAGAGGAAGACCUCACCCUUCUGCAGAGAGCCCCGAGGCCACACAGUCUGCCGAGGAGCAGGCGAAGGCCCAGAUGCUGCCGACCUCGUUUCACCUUGAAGGACGGGGGUCACUCCCGUUCAAGGUCAGGUAAGGGCUAGAAAAGAAGAGAGGAAAAAGCGUGUAGGCCCACUUUCCUUAUGCCAUCGUAGAAGAUCUUGAACACUGUGUGAAUGAUUCCUAGCUGACGGGCCCCAACAGUGUUGGGGUUUGUGGUUGUUGUGGUACGGGGUGCUCUGCCACAGAGCCACAGCCCAACCCUUCUUAUUUUCUAUUUUGAGGAAGGGUCUUGCUAAGUCACAGGCUGGCCUCAAAUUUGCAAUCCUUUGGCUUCAGGCUCCCAAGCCAUUGGGAUGACAGGUGCCACCACACCUGGCCAACAGUGUUUGGAACAGAGACAAGAACUGCUCAAAUUCAAAAAGACUCCACAUGGUGGCAGGAAUGCAGGGUGACCGGAAUUCUCCACCGUGUAGGUGGGCUGUUUUGGAAAAGACUUGGUGUUUUAUUAUGAAUCUAAACGUUCAAUUACCCCAUGACCCAGCGACCCCACUCCAAGAUGUUUACACGAGAGAAAUAAAAAUGCAUGUCCAGAAAAUGACAAGAAUGUUCAUAACAAUUUUAUUCAUAAUAUCUUUUUAAAAUAGAAACAGUCCACAUGUCCAUCGACGGGAGAAUGGGCUAUCAAACUGUGGUCUAGUGCAAUUGGGGUUUACAUCUGCCCCAGAUUCAUAUGUUGGAAGCUAAUGUGUGUUAGAUUAAAAGGUGGGAAGUGGUUAAGUCACGAGCUGCACCUCAUGAGGGGCCGGUGCCCUUACAGGAGAGGCCCUAGCCAGCUCCCUGCCCCUUCCACCACGAGAGGGCCGGUUGAGAAGCGCCAUCUUGGAGCAGAGGGCAGCCCUCCCCCGACACCCAGUCUGCCAGUGCCUUGGUCUUGGCUGGACUCCCCAGAUGCAGACUGUGAGCACUUGGUUUCUGUCACUCACCAGCGGCCGGCCCGAGGGGCUUUGCUACUGCAGCCUGAGCCGGUCAAGACAGUGUCCCGCUCAGCAGGGACAACGUGCACACCGCCAACCCGUUCAAAGACAGGGGUCUCAAAAUCUUUAUGUUGACGGACAGAAGCCAGACACAGAAGGACACAUGCCAUGCAAUCCGAAGUUGUGGAGUGGACAGACGAGUUCACGGUGGGGGAUAGCAGAGCUGUGCUCACCCAGGAAGGUGGGGGCUGGGAAGGGCAGGGAGGAGCUGCUGGGGCGAGUGUCCGCAUCUCCACCAGGGUGGGGCCCAUGGUGUGCACCUGGCCAAACCUCCUCAAAUGGCACCAUGCAGACAUGAGCGUCUCGCAGUAUGUAAAUUUUAC